rnacentral:rRNA from 1 species
GACAGAGGUGCCGAGCGUUAGGCGGAAUUACUGGGCGUAAAGCGCGCGUAGGCGGCUUUUCAAGUCGAUUGUGAAAUCCCCGGGCUUAACCUGGGAACUGCAGUCGAGACUGUCUAGCUAGAGUAUGGGAGAGGGAAGUGGAAUUUCAGGUGUAGCGGUGAAAUGCGUAGAUAUCUGAAGGAACAUCAGUGGCGAAAGCGACUUCCUGGACCAAUACUGACGCUCAUGUGCGAAAGCGUGGGGAGCAAACAGG